rnacentral:rRNA from 1 species
GAAUUCGAUUCGGUGUGACAAGGCCCGGGAACGUAUUCACGGCGCCGUAGCUGAUGCGCCAUUACUAGCGAUUCCGGCUUCAUGAAGUCGAGUUGCAGACUUCAAUCUGAACUGGGCCCAGUUUUAGUGAUUUCCUCCACCUCGCGGUCUUGGAUCGUUUUGUACUGGGCAUUGUAGUACGUGUGCAGCCCUGGCCGUAAGGGCCAUACUGACUUGACGUCGUCCCCACCUUCCUCCCCGUUAAAGCGGGGCAGUCUGAACAGAGUGCUCGAGCCUCACGGCUCGGUGGCAACAGUUCACAGGGGUUGUGCUCGUUGCGGGACUUAACCCAACAUCUCACGACACGAGCUGACGACAGCCAUGCAGCACCUGUGCAAAUUGUCCCUUUCGGGACUCGCUGGCUUUCACCAACUUAGAGAUGCAUGUCAAGGCCAGGUAAGGUUCUUCGCGUUAAUCACUA